GGCAGUGGCUCAGUGGCAGAGUGCUUGCCUGGCAUGCAUGAGGCACUGGGUUCGAUCCUCAGCACCA
rnacentral:tRNA from 1 species